UUUCUCGCUUCAUCUGUGCCACUUCUCUGCAUUCGGUAUGGCGCCUUGUACUUCUAUCCAACGUUGCCCGCUCCCCAUCUUCCCUGCCCACCAGCUCACUGCCCUCGGUCCGCAUCUCCGGAUGUUUCGUGAGAUAUGGAGCCUGCCACCAGGGAACCGGAUUUUUCCGUCUCGUCCAUGGAAGCACGGGUGAUGGCCGCAUGCGCAGUGAUAACUCAGCGACUCGCGCCUUUUGACCACUGUUGAGAUGAAGAUUGUGAGGAGGGAGACCAGAAGAUAACAGACGAGGACACAGCAGAAGGGCCUGGUCACACUUGAGCUUAUUUCUUGGAAGAGUCUGAGAAGACAGCCUGUCAGGCUCCUAACACCAAGGGCCAUGUAACCUGUGAAGCAGCCAUUAUACAUGAUUUGGUCUACACUUGCUGGGUAAGUUUAAGGAUUGUUAACCCUUUUCCUAAGUAGUAUAGCAGAAAUUCAGGUUUGCACAGUGGCUAGCCAGCUAUAAGCCACCUCCAUAAUUUAUGUCUGGCCUGUGUACUGAACUAGUUAGCUGUUCACACCUGGGGCAUGCUUGCCAUGCUGGUUGGUUAGUAUUUGUCCAUUGAAGAACAUUGCAUGAGUACAAUCAGACACUGGUCCAUGAUGAAACCCAUUAUCAGUGGACAUCUAUGGAUGAGAAAUGCGGAUAUGGGACUGAGACCAGUUCUUAGGAAAGCCUGAGUUGGGGGUUGAGUCUGAAGGUGGAACUAACAUAGACUUGCACUUCCUUUUCAGAAAAAAUCUACAAGAGGAUCCGGAAGCUAGCCGACAUUUUUGGCUAGUACAUAGCCAGGCAGCCAUUGGAAUCAGAGCUGCAGACAGAUUAAGGCCAGCCUGGCCUACAUUGAGAAACCUCAUUUUGGAAAAGUGGAAUAAUCUGUAAAUUAACAUGCAGUUGGUUCAAUAAAGACUUUUGGAAAG
rnacentral:lncRNA from 1 species